CGGAACGGGUGAGUAAUGCGUGACCAACUGCCCCAUGCUCCAGAAUAGCUCUUGGAAACGGGUGGUAAUGCUGGAUGCUCCAACUUGACGCAUGUCUUGUUGGGAAAGUGUUUAGUGGCAUGGGAUGGGGUCGCGUCCUAUCAGCUUGUAGGCGGGGUAAUGGCCCACCUAGGCUUCGACGGGUAGCCGGCCUGAGAGGGCGGACGGCCACAUUGGGACUGAGAUACGGCCCAGACUCCUACGGGAGGCAGCAGAA
rnacentral:rRNA from 1 species